AAGCGGAGGAAAAGAAACCAACAGGGAUUGCCCUAGUAACGGCGAGUGAAGCGGCAACAGCUCAAAUUUGAAAUCUGGCGCAAGCCCGAGUUGUAAUUUGUAGAGGAUGCUUCUAGGUAGCGACCGGUCUAAGUUCCUUGGAACAGGACGUCAUAGAGGGUGAGAAUCCCGUAUGUGACCGGCCCGCACCUUCUACGUAGCUCCUUCGACGAGUCGAGUUGUUUGGGAAUGCAGCUCUAAAUGGGAGGUAAAUUUCUUCUAAAGCUAAAUACCGGCCAGAGACCGAUAGCGCACAAGUAGAGUGAUCGAAAGAUGAAAAGCACUUUGGAAAGAGAGUUAAAAAGCACGUGAAAUUGUUGAAAGGGAAGCGCUUACAACCAGACUUCUGGGCGGUGUUCCGCCGGUCUUUUGACCGGUCUACUCGCCGUCCCGAGGCCAACAUCAUCUGGGACCGCUGGAUAAGACCUCAGGAAUGUAGCUUCCCUCGGGAAGUGUUAUAGCCUGUGGUGAUGCAGCGCGUCUCGGGUGAGGUCCGCGCUUCGGCAAGGAUGUUGGCGUAAUGGUUGUCAGCGGCCCGUCUUGAAACACGGACCAAGGAGUCUAACAUCUAUGCGAGUGUUCGGGUGUCAAACCCCUACGCGUAAUGAAAGUGAACGGAGGUGGGAAGCGUAAGCUGCACCAUCGACCGAUCCUGAUGUCCUCGGAUGGAUUUGAGUAAGAGCAUAGCUGUUGGGACCCGAAAGAUGGUGAACUAUGCCUGAAUAGGGUGAAGCCAGAGGAAACUCUGGUGGAGGCUCGCAGCGGUUCUGACGUGCAAAUCGAUCGUCAAAUUUGGGUAUAGGGGCGAAAGACUAAUCGAACCAU
rnacentral:rRNA from 2 species